AACACAUGCAAGUCGAGCGGGGGAGGUUGCUUCGGUAACUGACCUAGCGGCGGACGGGUGAGUAAUACUUAGGAAUCUGCCUAUUAAUGGGGGACAACAUCUCGAAAGGGAUGCUAAUACCGCAUACGCCCUACGGGGGAAAGCAGGGGAUCACUUGUGACCUUGCGUUAAUAGAUGAGCCUAAGUCGGAUUAGCUAGUUGGUGGGGUAAAGGCCUACCAAGGCGACGAUCUGUAGCGGGUCUGAGAGGAUGAUCCGCCACACUGGGACUGAGACACGGCCCAGACUCCUACGGGAGGCAGCAGUGGGGAAUAUUGGACAAUGGGGGGAACCCUGAUCCAGCCAUGCCGCGUGUGUGAAGAAGGCCUUAUGGUUGUAAAGCACUUUAAGCGAGGAGGAGGCUCUUCUAGUUAAUACCCAGGAUGAGUGGACGUUACUCGCAGAAUAAGCACCGGCUAACUCUGUGCCAGCAGCCGCGGUAAUACAGAGGGUGCGAGCGUUAAUCGGAUUUACUGGGCGUAAAGCGUGCGUAGGCGGCUUUUUAAGUCGGAUGUGAAAUCCCCGAGCUUAACUUGGGAAUUGCAUUCGAUACUGGGAAGCUAGAGUAUGGGAGAGGAUGGUAGAAUUCCAGGUGUAGCGGUGAAAUGCGUAGAGAUCUGGAGGAAUACCGAUGGCGAAGGCAGCCAUCUGGCCUAAUACUGACGCUGAGGUACGAAAGCAUGGGGAGC
rnacentral:rRNA from 1 species